AGAGUUUGAUCAUGGCUCAGAUUGAACGCUAGCGGCAUGCUUAACACAUGCAAGUCGAACGGUAACAGUCCUAGCUUGCUAGGAGCUGACGAGUGGCGGACGGGUGAGUAACGCGUAGGAAUCUACCUUGUAGUGGGGGAUAACUUGGGGAAACCCAAGCUAAUACCGCAUGAGUCCUAAGGGGGAAAGCAGGGGACCGAAAGGCCCUGUGCUAUAAGAUGAGCCUGCGUCGGAUUAGCUAGUUGGUAGGGUAAAGGCCUACCAAGGCGAGGAUCCGUAGCUGGUCUGAGAGGACGACCAGCCACACUGGGACUGAGACACGGCCCAGACUCCUACGGGAGGCAGCAGUGGGGAAUAUUGGACAAUGGGCGCAAGCCUGAUCCAGCAAUGCCGCGUGUGUGAAGAAGGCCUGCGGGUUGUAAAGCACUUUCAGUGGGGAGGAAGGCCUUAGUGCUAAUAGUACUGAGGAUGACGUACCCACAGAAG
rnacentral:rRNA from 1 species